AGAGUUCGAUCCUGGCUCAGGAUGAACGCUGGCGGCAUGCCUAACACAUGCAAGUCGAUCGGUAAGGCCCUUUGGGGUACACGAGAGGCGGACGGCUGAGUAACGCAUGGGAACGCACCCUACACUGAGGGAUAAGAUACCGAAAGGUGUUCUAAUACCGCAUGUGGUCUUCGGAUUAAAGUUUUUAACGGUGAAGGAGCGGCCUGUGUCAUAUUAGGUAGUUGGUGGGGUAAUGGCCUACCAAGCCGAUGAUGUGUAGCUGGUCUGAGAGGAUGAUCAGCCAGAUUGGAACUGAGAACGGUCCAAACUCCUACGGGAGGCAGCAGUGAGGAAUAUUCCACAAUGGGCGAAAGCCUGAUGGAGCAAUGCCGCGUGCAGGAUGAAGGCCUUCGGGUUGUAAACUGCUUUUAUUAGAGAAGAAUAUGACGGUAACUAAUGAAUAAGGGACGGCUAACUACGUGCCAGCAGCCGCGGUCAUACGUAGGUCCCAAGCGUUAUCCGGAGUGACUGGGCGUAAAGAGUUGCGUAGGCGGCUAAGUAAGCGAGUGAUGAAAACUGUCGGCUCAACCGACAGCCUGUUAUUCGUACUGCUUGGCUCGAGAGUAUCAGAGGUCGCUGGAAUUCCUAGUGUAGCAGUGAAAUGCGUAGAUAUUAGGAGGAACACCAAUGGCGUAGGCAGGCGACUGGGGUAUUUCUGACGCUAAGGCACGAAAGCGUGGGUAGCGAACCGGAUUAGAUACCCGGGUAGUCCACGCCGUAAACGAUGAAUGCUAAUUGUUCGGGGUAUCGACCCCUUGGGUAAUAAAGCUAACGCGUUAAGCAUUCCGCCUGUGGAGUACGGCCGCAAGGCUAAAACAUAAAGGAAUUGACGGGGACCCGCACAAGCGGUGGAGGAUGUUCUUUAAUUCGAUGAUAAGCGAAGAACCUUACCAGGGCUUGACAUCCCUAGAAUUUCUCCGAAAGGAGAGAGUGCUUUUUAAGAACUAGGUGACAGAUCCUGCAUGGCCGUCGUCAGCUCGUGUCGUGAGAUGUUUGGUUAAGUCCAUCAACGAGCGCAACCCUUAUCGUUAGUUGUAUUUUUCUAACGAGACUGCCCCGGUAACGGGGAGGAAGGAGGGGAUGAUGUCAGGUCAGUAUUGGUCUUACGUCCUGGGCUAGAAACGUCCUACAAUGGCUGGUACAAUGGGCAGCGAACCCGCGAGGGGGUGCAAAUCCCACCAAAGCCAGUCCCAGUUCGGAUUGCAGGCUGAAACUCGCCUGCAUGAAGUCGGAAUCGCUAGUAAUCGCAGAUCAGCACGCUGCGGUGAAUACGUUCCCGGGUCUUGUACACACCGCCCGUCAAACCAUGAAAGUCAGGAGCACCCGACGUCCGAAUUUAUUUCGGCCUAAGGUGAACUUGGUGAUUGGGGUUAAGUCGUAACAAGGUAUCCGUACCGGAAGGUGCGGAUG
rnacentral:rRNA from 1 species